AUUGAACGCUGGCGGCAGGCCUAACACGUGCAAGUCGAGCGGAUGAAGGGAGCUUGCUCUCUGAUUCAGCGGCGGACGGGUGAGUAAUGCCUAGGAAUCUGCCUGGUAGUGGGGGACAACGUUUCGAAAGGAACGCUAAUACCGCAUACGUCCUACGGGAGAAAGUGGGGGAUCUUCGGACCUCACGCUAUCCGAUGAGCCUAGGUACGAUUAGCUAGUUGGUGAGGUAAAGGCUCACCAAGGCGACGAUCGUUAACUGGUCUGAGAGGAUGAUCAGUCACACUGGAACUGAGACACGGUCCAGACUCCUACGGGAGGCAGCAGUGGGGAAUAUUGGACAAUGGGCGAAAGCCUGAUCCAGCCAUGCCGCGUGUGUGAAGAAGGUCUUCGAAUUGUAAAGCACUUUAAGUUGGGAGGAAGGGCAGUAAGUUAAUACCUUGCUGUUUUGACGUUACCGACAGAAUAAGCACCGGCUAACUUCGUGCCAGCCGCCGCAGUAACAC
rnacentral:rRNA from 1 species